AAAGAUAGUGGCAUUGUGUCAGAAGCUGCUGGGAUGAAGUCAACAUCCGUUCCUGUCUCCCCUUGGGAGAGCCAUGUUCCAGGGUGAGCCUCCUUUGCAAAAAAAGACUUGUUGGGACUGGAGGUCUGAGAGCUGGGGCUGGCCUUGGGGAAGAGGAUCACUGCAAGUCACUUUACACUGUGCAGGGGACUGGCUAUCCUUUGGUUGUUUGAUGGGCAGGCUUUGCUCAGAUGGGGAUGGUGAGAUGUCAUCUUCCUGCAAAUGCCAUCUGUGUUCCUUCAGGCCUAGAGCAGGCCAUGGAUGGGAACCCCCUGCUUAGAUCAGUCUCCUUGGCAUUUUACAGGCAAAGAGAGUGAUGGAUUUGCCAUUCCAAACCAGCCAUAAGUGGAGCCUGUGCCCAUCGGAGAGCUGCUGGUGGCUGAAACUGCAAUUCUGAUAGCCAUUUGGGGAAGAGCCAAUGGGUGCCAAGUGUUUAUGAUGUGACAAGUACAUCUGCAUCACUGAUGGUGAGAGUCUCACUCUGUCUCCUAGGCUGGAGUGCAGUGGCGUGAUCUCAUCUCAUUGCAACCUCCACCUCCUGGAUUCAAGUGAUUCUCCCGCCUUGACUUCCCAAGUAGCUGGGUUUACGGUGCCUGCCACCACACCUGGCUAAUUUUUGUAUUUUUAGUAGAGAUGAGGUUUCACCAUGUUGGCCAGGAUGGUCUUGAACUCCCGACCUCAGGUAAUCCACCUGCCCUGGCCUCCCAAAGUGCUGGGAUUACAGUUGUGAGCCACCACACCUGGCCUGAAAAUCCUCAUCUUUUUCAGGCCACCCAAGGCAGAGGCUCACAGAUGGAACUGCAGGCCACAGUAUCACCCCAUCCCUCACUCUUAUGACAACUAAUUAUCAAGAAAUUUCUGUAAAAUGAAAUCAUUAUACAAAAAAGAUACCUGCAUUUGUAUGUUUAUUGUAGUACUGCUUAACCUAAGUGUUCAUCAACAAAUGGGUGGAAAAAAUAUGGUACAUAUACACAAUGGAAUACUAUUAAGCCAUAAAAAAAUCAUGUCUUUUGCAGCAAUAUGGAUGGAACUGGAGGUCGUCACCUUAAGUGAAACAGGCCAGAAACAGAAAAACAGAUAUUGCGUGUUCUCACUGAUAUGUGGGAGCUAAAUAAUGUGUACACGUGGAUGUAGAGCGUGGAAUGGUAGACGAUGGAGACUCAGAAGGGGGUGGGGUGGACGGGAGGUGGAUAAUGAGAAAUUACUCAUUGGGUACUAUGCAUGUUAUUUAGAGGAUGGAUGCUCUAAAGCCCUGACUUCACCACUGCACAAUCUAUGCAUGUAACAUGAUUGUACUCGCACCCUAUCCAUUCAUACAAAUAAAAAAGAUUAUAAUAAAAAAUAAAGCUGGAUAUAUAACCCCCUAAAAAGAAAUCCCUGUGAAUGAAAC
rnacentral:lncRNA from 10 species